UCAAAAGGGAGUCCUUGGCCUAGGGGCCAUAUCCGGCCAGUGAGGGUUUUUUGCUGGCCCCCAGGUAGGAAUAUUCUGCAGCAACAGCAGGAGCCCUUAAUUGCUCUUGCAGUUGGCUGCUUGAGACCAGAUGGAGCCUAUAAACACCAUACAUCUUUCCCCUCACCUUUUCCCCAGACUCCAACCCUCUGCCCCCUCAAUUUUAUUAAUAUUUUGAACUAUUUAUAUAUUUAUUUAUCCUAGGCAUACCCAUCGCUGAUCCCAUGCAUGGCAGCUCUCGUGAGAAACUGCCGGACUAGUGACGGGACGUGGAGAAAUUGGCCACUGGGAUGAGGAGGUGGCGGCGGUGAUGGGCCCGGCUGCCGGGUUGAGGAGGUGAUGGUGGUGGGCCCGGCCCGGCUGCCAGGAUGAGGAGGAGGUGGCGGUGGGCCCAGCAGCCAGGGACUAGCAUUGACCGUUUGUGCUGGGACAGAUUCUUACUAGCUUGCUCCUGAAAGGCUGUAUUAACUUUCAAAAGAUAUUGGAGGAAAGUAGAGACGUUUUCUGUCAAUGCCAGCCAGUUACCCCACAAGGGGUCAUCAGUUAUCACAUCACUCCACCUUCAAUGAAUUCUUCCGAAGAUAAAGAAAGAGAAUGGUCUGGCCUAAGGGUUCAUUGACUAACCAUAAGGACACCACCUGCUUGCGACAAUCUCCCUCAAACAGAAUCUGGACUUUGAUGCUGAAUUGACACUUGCAAUAAUAUAUUGUUAACUGGACUGGAGUAUGAAGGGAAUUGAAUGGUAGAGAAUCUGAAUUGGGAAAGAGUGAACAGAUCUGUCUCUACUAAACUAAGCAGAAAAAAAGCUUUUUACACUCCAGGAUUGCCUAGAUGUAUAGAUUAAUGUAUUGAUCCUUCUUCACUAUAUAACUUUCAUGCCUGUGGCAUUGAU